UGCUGAGAGGUUUAACCCGGACACCAUGAGGUGGACUCCUGUCAAACGCAUGAAGAGCAAGAGAAACAACAUGUCCCUUGUAGUCUUCAAUGGUGUCUUGCUGGCUGUGGGAGGCUCUGAUGGUGUCACCAAUCUGAAAACAAUAGAAGUUUACUGUCAUGAAACCAACACAUGGAGACACUUUGGAAGCAUGAAGAACAACCAUCCAGGAGGAAGAGUGGCUGUGCUGUGCUGAGACCUGUUCACAUUAUACGAACAGGACAGAGGUGUUAGAGAGAAAUAGCCUAAUGGAUGUACACCAGGCUGCAGGACAUAUUGUGAUAUGGAUCAUGUAAGACAGCAUAAUGACUGAAUAAUUGAAGAGUUCACUCCAAAACGAGACAUCGCUGCAUUAGUCAAAAUUGGCAGCUGGUGUUACAAAAUGAGUGCGAGCAUUUCAUUAAAGCACAUUACAGGCUACCAGGUUACCAUUAAAAGUUAUGGGUCUUUUUAUGUAUCUAGCUUACAAAGCAGACCUCUAUUAUAGGGAUGAAUCAGCAGCAAGUACAUUUCAGGUUGUAUUUUUUCCACCAAAAAGAGAUGUCCCAUCCUUCCAAUAGAGAUUGAAUAUGGUACUACCAUAAUUAUAGCCUGACCAAUACUGGAUUUUUGAGUCCAGUAAUGUAUUGACAUUUGUGAGUUUUAAAUAUCAGAUGAUAUUUUGGCCGAUUAUUUAACAUAAACAAAAAUAAUCUUGAUACGAAUAACUUAGAUUUGUUUGUGUUUUUUUAGAUUUGUGAUAUCUCUGCAAUUAGCUUACACUGAUUGAUCAGCUUGGCCGAUGUAUUAGCCAAACUCUAACCAUACUAUUAGAUUUUUAAAAAAUUACAAUGUAAAACGUGAAAAAGUGAGCCAGUGUUUUACAAAAUAGUGCAUAAGUCCCACUUGUAAAUAUUGGGAUUUGUGUAGUGAUUAUUGAUGCGGAGGGAAAAGAUGGAGGGAAACUAUGCAGGUGUUUGGUAACAGAAAGUACAGGAUUUGUAUAUGACAAAAUACUCAAUCUUUUGUCACUUAAUACUUUAAGAUGAAAGAAGUAAUUUUAACCUUGAUGAUGCUUUGAAGGUGAGAAACUCAGGUGGCUGUUGGAAGUGGAGAAAGUGUACUGAAUGUUUUCAGAGUAACAUAGUACUAUGACAUGACAAAAUAGCUAGCAUAAUGGCAUAGAGAAAUUAUGCAUUGUAUAUGUUGUCUUUCUAAAAAGUUCAUCAUGUGUGUACAUCAGCUUAUGUGAAUUUGUGAUGAUUCAUGUUGCAAAUGACUCCUCAGCACUGACUAAAAACAAUUACUCCA